rnacentral:misc_RNA from 1 species
AACGCACAUUGCGCCCCUCGGUAUUCCGACGGGCAUGCCUGUUCGAGCGUCAUCAAACACGAUAGAGCGCCGCUCAGUGUUGGGACCGGCCGUUUGGCCCUCCCGUAACCCGUUGGCGGACUGUCCGGCCCUAGGCGUAGCAGAAACUACCGCCUCGGGAGCCGUAGGCAGCCUGGCCUGUUGAACCCCUUAACGGUUUGGCCUCGGAUCAGGUAGGGAUACCCGCUGAACUUAA